rnacentral:rRNA from 1 species
AUAUUGCACAAUGGGCGCAAGCCUGAUGCAGCCAUGCCGCGUGUAUGAAGAAGGCCUUCGGGUUGUAAAGUACUUUCAGCGGGGAGGAAGGGAGUACAGUUAAUACCUUUGCUCAUUGACGUUACCCGCCGAAGAAGCACCGGCUCACUCCGUGCCAGCAGCCGCGGUAAUACGGAGGGUGCAAGCGUUAAUCGGAAUUACUGGGCGUAAAGCGCACGCAGGCGGUUUGUUAAGUCAGAUGUGAAAUCCCCGGGCUCAACCUGGGAACUGCACCUGAUACUGGCAAGCUUGAGUCUCGUAGAGGGGGGUAGAAUUCCAGGUGUAGCGGUGAAAUGCGUAGAGAUCUGGAGGAAUACCGGAGGCGAAGGCGGCCCCCUGGACGAAGACUGACGCUCAGGUGCGAAAGCGUGGGGAGCAAACAGG